rnacentral:rRNA from 1 species
UCAAGCGCGAGAAGGGCGUUUGGUGGAUGCCUUGGCGGCAAGAGGCGAUGAAGGACGCGGCACUCUGCGAUAAGCCCGGGGGAGGCGAGAGCACCCUUUGAUCCCGGGAUUUCCGAAUGGGGCAACCCACCUGACACUGUUUUGUUUAUCCGACUGCCAGCGGCUCGGGGACGCAGGUCCUCAAGCGGCGAAGCGGUAGGACGAAACAAAGUGGUGAGACAGGUACUUUCUUCCUGAACACAUAGGGUUGAAAGAGCGAACGCGGGGAACUGAAACAUCUCAGUACCCGCAGGAAAGGAAAUCAACAGAUACUCCCCCAGUAGCGGCGAGCGAACGGGGACCAGCCGAGCCUUGAGAGUUAGCAGAACCAGCUGGAAAGCUGGGCGAGAUGGGUGACAGCCCCGUAUGCGACAGCUCGAGAGGACACAUCAAGUAGGGCGGGACACGUGAAAUCCUGUCUGAAGAUCGGGGGACCACCCUCGAAGGCUAAGUACUCCUUGCCGACCGAUAGCGAACCAGUACCGUGAGGGAAAGGUGAAAAGCACCCCGACAAGGGGAGUGAAACAGUUCCUGAAACCGGACGCCUACAAACAGUCGGAGCCUGCGGGGUCUCUUCGGAGACCGUGACGGGUGACGGCGUACCUUUUGUAUAAUGGGUCAACGACUUGGUCUCACGAGCAAGCUUAAGCCGCUAGGCGUAGGCGCAGCGAAAGCGAGUCUGAAGAGGGCGCUUCAGUUCGUGGGAUCAGACCCGAAACCGAGUGAUCUAGGCAUGUCCAGGAUGAAGGUGCGGUAACACGCACUGGAGGUCCGAACCCACACCUGUUGAAAAAGGUCGGGAUGAGGUGUGCCUAGGGGUGAAAGGCCAAUCAAACUCGGAGAUAGCUGGUUCUCCGCGAAAUCUAUUUAGGUAGAGCGUCGGACGAAUACUCCCGGGGGUAGAGCACUGGAUGGGUAAUGGGGACCCACAGUCUUACUGAUCCUAACCAAACUCCGAAUACCGGGAAGUACUAUCCGGCAGACACACGGCGGGUGCUAAGGUCCGUCGUGAAAAGGGAAACAGCCCUGACCUGCAGCUAAGGCCCCCAAUUCGUGGCUAAGUGGGAAAGCAUGUGGGACGACCAAAACAACCAGGAUGUUGGCUUAGAAGCAGCCAUCAUUUAAAGAAAGCGUAACAGCUCACUGGUCUAGACAAGUUGUCCUGCGGCGAAGAUGUAACGGGGCUCAAGCCACGAGCCGAAGCUCAGGGUGCGCAGCAAUGCGCGCGGUAGCGGAGCGUUCCGUGAUCAGCUCCAUGCCUCUUCAGCGUCCCUCGGGACCCUGCGGAGGCUGGGAGCUUUCUGUGAAGCCGGGCCGUGAGGCAUCCGGUGGAGAGAUCGGAAGCGAGAAUGUUGACAUGAGUAGCGACAAAGCGGGUGAGAGACCCGCUCGCCGAAAGUCCAAGGGUUCCUGCUUAAAGCUAAUCUGAGCAGGGUGAGCCGACCCCUAAGGCGAGGCCGAAAGGCGUAGUCGAUGGGAACCGGGUUAAUAUUCCCGGGCCAGGAGGAAGUGACGGAUCGCGGCUGUUGUCUGGUCUUAUCGGAUUGAUCAGGCUUCGAGGCGGUUCCUGGAAAUAGCCCUCCAUCAGAUCGUACCCGAAACCGACACAGGUGGACUGGUAGAGCAUACCAAGGCGCUUGAGAGAACUACGUUGAAGGAACUCGGCAAAAUGCCUCCGUAACUUCGGGAGAAGGAGGCCCCGUCGUUGGGCAACCAGCGGCGGGGGGCACAGACCAGGGGGUGGCGACUGUUUACUAAAAACACAGGUCUCUGCGAAGCCGUAAGGCGACGUAUAGGGACUGACGCCUGCCCGGUGCCGGAAGGUUAAAAGGAGAGGUGCAAGCCUUGAAUUGAAGCCCCGGUAAACGGCGGCCGUAACUAUAACGGUCCUAAGGAAGCGAAAUUCCUUGUCGGGU